rnacentral:tRNA from 1 species
GGGCGUAUAGCACAACCGGUUAGUGCAUCGGACUCAUAAUCCGGAGGUUACAGGUUCAAGUCCUGUUGCGCCCA